rnacentral:miRNA from 1 species
UGAGGUAGAUUGAUCAGCGAGCUU